UGGGAUUAGAUACCCCACUAUGCCUAGCCCUAAAGAUUGGUAGCUAAUYACAACCGCUACCCGCCAGGAUACUACGAGCACCAGCUUAAAAGCCAAAGGACUUGGCGGUGCUUUAGACCCCUCUAGAGGAGCCUGUCCUAGAACCGAUAAUCCCCGUUUAACCUCACCUUCUCUUGUCCUAUUCCGCCUAUAUACCGCCGUCGUAAGCUCGCCCUUUGAGGGAUAAAUAGCGAGCUCAAUCAGUAAUACUCAGCACGUCAGGUCGAGGUGUAGCGUACGAGAAGGGAAGAGAUGGGCUACAUUCACUAUAUUUAGUGCAUACGAAAUAUGUCUUGAAAUAUACAUAAGAAGGAGGAUUUAGUAGUAAGCUAAAAGCAGAGUGUUUAGCUGAAUUGGGCGCUGAAGCGCGUACACACCGCCCGUCACCCU
rnacentral:rRNA from 1 species